rnacentral:rRNA from 1 species
UACGAAGGGGGCUAGCGUUGUUCGGAUUUACUGGGCGUAAAGCGCACGUAGGCGGAUCGUUAAGUCGGGGGUGAAAUCCUGGAGCUCAACUCCAGAACUGCCUUCGAUACUGGCGAUCUUGAGUCCGGAAGAGGUGAGUGGAACUCCUAGUGUAGAGGUGGAAUGCGCAGAUAUCAGGAGGAACACCAAUGGCGAAGGCAGGUCUCUGGGCCACAACUGACGCUGAGGAGCGAAAGCGUGGGGAGCAAACAGG